rnacentral:rRNA from 1 species
GCUAAACGCGAAGAACCUUACCUGGCCUUGACAUCCGCGGAACUCGGCAGAAAUGCCUUGGUGCCUUCGGGAAUCGCGAGACAGGUGCUGCAUGGCUGUCGUCAGCUCGUGUCGUGAGAUGUUGGGUUAAAGUCCCGCAACGAGCGCAACCCUUGUCCUUAGUUGCCAUCAUUCAGUUGGGAACUCUAAGGAGACCGCCGGUGACAAACCGGAGGAAGGUGGGAUGACGUCAAGUCAUCAUGGCCCUUAUGGCCAGGGCUACACACGUGCUACAAUGGGCGGUACAAAGGGUUGCCAACCCGCGAGGGGGAGCCAAUCCCAAAAACGACCGNUACCCAGUCCGGAUCGGAGUCUGCAACUCGACUCCGUGAAGUCGGAAUCGCUAGUAAUCGCGGAUCAGCUAUGCCGCGGUGAAUACGUUCCCGGGUCUGUACACACCG